CUCCCCGAUCCAGACCCCUCCCCCGCCCCUCUGCCUGCUGCUCUUCUCCCCCAAAUCCAGCCCCGCCGUCGAGCACCUCCGCCCCAACGCCAGCGACUCCGCCCACUACCCAUCGCCGGACCCCUCGCGACCUCCGCCCUCUACCCCAACGCCGGCGACCCCCACCAUCUGCAUCUCCCCUCCCCUUCUCUCCAGCAAAAUCCACCGGAUCGACUCGACCCACAAAGGCCGCGCCCAGAUCCGCCGGUAGAGGAGGAGGAGCCUCCUCCCGCCACCACCUUGCCUCCUCCCGCCACGAGCAGAGCAGAUCGGGCCGCAUGACAGCGGGCAUGGAGGAGGACGCGGCGGCUGCUGCUGCCGCGGCGCCCGACUCGUGGGAGAUGGCCUACCUCGAUGGGUCCAUGAGCCGCCUGUUCCUCUCCUCCUCCUCCUCCGGUGGCGCGGCACAAAGGGUCUCCUCCUCGCCCGACCUCGCCGACGACCGCCAUCAGCUUCUCGAUGGUUCAGGGCCCGCCGCCGCUUCAGGGCCCCCUCAUCCCACCACCGGUUCAGGGUGUUCUCGGCCUCAGAUCGUGUGCCUUGGUGUUUUGUCCUGAAAUAGGCUCUAUGUAUACAUCUUUCCUGUGUGGAUUGUUCUUUUCAUGCUGUUAAAUAUUGACAAACUGUUGGAGCAGUGUUCCUGCCAAGGACUCUAAUUGAUCAGUGCAUUUUCGAAUUGAAUCUAGCCCUGUUGGAAAUGAUGUGAACAUGCUGUUUUUUUGUAGUCAUGCUUACUUAAAAGAUACUGAUUCAUAGAUCAUUAGGUAGCUAGCCUUACACAUGCUAUGAAAUGUGUGACUUGUUUGAGGAGGUAGCUGUUUGAAGAUCUCUGCAGCCGUUGCCUACUAGUACAUUCAUAGUAGAUGGCUCUUGCUGUUUGACCCUGUUCAUAUAUACAAUUUUUGUUUGGAAGAUCUCACAAACUGAUAGUAGAGUUAGAGCAUAUUCAUGAGUGCCUUGACUUGUCAUAUUGCCAGCAGAUUUGUGAGAGAUGUACAAGGUCAUUAAGCUGUGUUUGUGUUCCUGUCUUUUGCAUAACUGUUGUAGGAGCCUUCCUGGUGGUUAGUGUCUUUGUUAGCUUUCUGAAAUAGCAUUAAGAAAAUGCUCAGAUGUGAAUAAACUGUUUGACUCUAAUAGAUUGGUGUCCCUUCCAAGUUAUCUUACAUAUUUCUGCUUCAUUCUAUGGUUUUAUUGAUAGUAGCUCAUUAGUCUCAUGGUUAUGGAGGUUUACCUAGUUUAUUAUUGAUGUCUUUUCUGUAGUUUUUUUGGUUAGCUUUACUCUUUUCCUAAUUACCAUGCUUGUAAUAUUUGUUGAUGAACCAGUAGUUUUAAGGCAUUUGCAGUAGCUUCCGUUGUGAUUUAUGAUAGUCAGCUAAGGUUCCCCGGGUUCAGUUACGAAAUUGUCUUUGUGUGUUUCCCUCCCUUGCUUAUCUUCUGGCUGGUGAGCAUUUUGCUGCACAAUGCUCAUUUUGCUGCUAGUGUCCUUUUCACAGUUUUUUUACUAUGUUUUGGCCUAGUUUUGUUCACGUGUAUAAUAAGCAUCCUGAAUGCUCAUUUAGCAGUGUAUUAAUAACACUGCUUGUUUUGUUCACGUGUAUUCAGAUUAAUACACUGUGUUAUUAAGCUGCACAAUGCUCAUCCUGUUGGCUACUUGUCGAUGUUCGCAAAUAGGCUGCCAUGUCUUUUCCACUUUUCUUUUCGCUUUCUGUAAUGCUAACUUGACGGUAACCCUAUAGUUUGUUGGCUGUUGCAAACCCAGCAGCGGCGCUUCCAUUUUAACGCAUGUACUAGUGUGCUAAAACUUGCAAAAGACACAAAUCUUGAGCUUUCUUUAUCGGCUUGUUGCUGCUGCUCCUUGUGUACAAUGAUUGAUGUUGUUGUAGUUAGUGUUGUAGAGGAAGAAAGAGGAUGUAUUUAUAUUACUUGCUUCUGCUGCUUAUAUAUAGACCUGUAUGUAUGUUUACUUCAUUUCUUCCUUGUCUCUUCGAUCCCCUCCUAAUGAAUUUGUUUGUUCGAUUUGGAUUAGCAGGCUCGUCCCUGGACCAGAUGUUCAAGUACAGCCCCAUCCACCGCAUCGACCUGGAGCCAGAUGCUGGGCUUUAAUGUUUCUUCGUGAGCAUCAGUAAAAAGAAGUCGGAGGAAGAAUAGUUCUUGCUCAUUGGAGCUAGUUCUGAGAGUAAUGGAGUCCUUUAUGCUGCUCCUAUUUGUAUGUGUGUUAUGUGAUGUAGCAGAAUGUGGCUCCUGUGAUUGUACACUUGUGGAGCUUGUUAUCUGAUUGUAAACUUGAUGCUGAUCACAUUUGUAUGUGUGUUAUAUGAUGUAGCACUUUGAUGGUUGAUAAUAUUUGAAGUAUUUCA